CCUACGGGCGGCAGCAGUGGGGAAUAUUGCACAAUGGGCGCAAGCCUGAUGCAGCCAUGCCGCGUGUGUGAAGAAGGCCUUCGGGUUGUAAAGCACUUUCAGCGGGGAGGAAGGCGUUAAGGUUAAUAACCUUGUCGAUUGACGUUACCCGCAGAAGAAGCACCGGCUAACUCCGUGCCAGCAGCCGCGGUAAUACGGAGGGUGCAAGCGUUAAUCGGAAUUACUGGGUGUAAAGCGCACGCAGGCGGUCUGUCAAGUCGGAUGUGAAAUCCCCGGGCUCAACCUGGGAACUGCAUUCGAAACUGGCAGGCUAGAGUCUUGUAGAGGGGGGUAGAAUUCCAGGUGUAGCGGUGAAAUGCGUAGAGAUCUGGAGGAAUACCGGUGGCGAAGGCGGCCCCCUGGACAAAGACUGACGCUCAGGUGCGAAAGCGUGGGGAGCAAACAGGAUUAGAUACCCCUGUAGUC
rnacentral:rRNA from 1 species